rnacentral:rRNA from 1 species
GACGAACGCUGGCGGCGUGCUUAACACAUGCAAGUCGAACGGACAGGCCCUGCUUUUGUGGGGUGCUCGAGUGGCGAACGGGUGAGUAACACGUGAGUAACCUGCCCUUGACUUUGGGAUAACUUCAGGAAACUGGGGCUAAUACCGGAUAGGAUCUCCUGCUGCAUGGUGGUGGUUGGAAAGUUUCGGCGGUUGGGGAUCGACUCGCGGCUUAUCAGCUUGUUGGUGGGGUAGUGGCUUUCCAAGGCUUUGACGGGUAGCCGGCCUGUGAGGGUGACCGGCCACAAUGGGACGGAGAUAGGGCACAGAGUGCAACGGGAGGAAGCAGAGGGGAAUAGUGCACAAUGGGCGGAAGCAGGAUGAAGAAACGCCGCGUGCGGGAGGACGGCCGUCGGGGAGGAAAAAGAAUUGGACGGAGAGGAAGCGAGAGUGACGGUAAUGGGUAAAGAAGCAACGGCUAACUACGUG